UACGUAGGGUGCGAGCGUUAAUCGGAAUUACUGGGCGUAAAGCGUGCGCAGGCGGUUUUGUAAGCCAGAUGUGAAAUCCCCGGGCUUAACCUGGGAAUGGCAUUUGGGACUGCAAGGCUUGAGUGCGGCAGAGGAGACUGGAAUUCCUGGUGUAGCAGUGAAAUGCGUAGAUAUCAGGAGGAACACCGAUGGCGAAGGCAGGUCUCUGGGCCGUAACUGACGCUGAGGAGCGAAAGCGUGGGGAGCAAACAGG
rnacentral:rRNA from 1 species